rnacentral:rRNA from 1 species
UGCAUAUCAAUAAGCGGAGGAAAAGAAAAUAACAAUGAUUCCCCUAGUAACUGCGAGUGAAGAGGGACAAGCUCAAAUUUUAAAUCUGUUAGGUAUCACCAGGCCGAGUUGUAAUUUGAAGAAGCGUUUUCUGCGCUCUUGAUCAGCCCAAGUCCUAUUGAAUGAGGCAUCAUGGAGGGUGAUAAUCCCGUCCGGUUGAUCAAUGCGUUUUACGAUACGCUUUCAAAGAGUCAAGUUGUUUGGGAUUGUAGCUUAAAAUGGGAGGUAAAUUUCUCCUAAGGCUAAAUAUUGGCGAGAGACCGAUAGCGAACAAGUACCGUGAGGGAAAGAUGAAAAGAACUUUGAAAAGAGAGUAAAAUAGUGCGUGAAAUUGUUGAAAGGGAAACGAUUGAGGUCAGUCGUACCGACGGACAAUCAGCCUUUUGAGUGCUAUUCUGUGGGGCAUGAGGGGGAAACCCUCAUGUUUUGCAUAUUUGUGCUCUUUGGGUGUAUUUGUUCGUAUGGUGGGUUAACAUCAAUUUUGGUCGUCAUAAAAUGACGGGAGGAAUGUAGCUUUGGUCUCGUAUUGAAGUGUUAUAGCCUCUGGUAGAUGUGACGACCGGGAUUGAGGAUUGCAACGGAUACCUCUCGGGGCUACUCGCCUGAUCUCUGAUCGUUACUCUGGUGCCGAAAGCUUGCUUAUGUCAUCAAAGUUGAUGGUCAAAAGGUUAGAACGGGUUAAAUUCGUUAAGGAUGUUGACGUAAUGGCUUUAAACGACA